GGUCUCACUGAUUCCUCCUUCCUGAUGAACCGUAAUGCCAUUAAUUUGGUGUUGCGGGGAAUUUGGACUGUUACUUUGAAAAAAUUAGAGUGUUUAAAGCAAGCUAACGCUUGAAUACAUUAGCAUGGAAUAAUGAAAUAGGACGUUCGAUCCUAUUUUGUUGGUUUCUAGGAUUGACGUAAUGAUUAAU
rnacentral:rRNA from 1 species